rnacentral:rRNA from 1 species
AUUGAACGCUGGCGGCAUGCCUUACACAUGCAAGUCGAACGGCAGCACGGGGCAACCUGGUGGCGAGUGGCGAACGGGUGAGUAAUGCAUCGGAACGUACCUUUCAGUGGGGGAUAACGUAGCGAAAGUUACGCUAAUACCGCAUAUUCUGUGAGCAGGAAAGCAGGGGAGCGCAAGACCUUGCGCUGAUUGAGCGGCCGAUGUCAGAUUAGCUAGUUGGUGAGGUAAAGGCUCACCAAGGCGACGAUCUGUAGCGGGUCUGAGAGGAUGAUCCGCCACACUGGAACUGAGACACGGUCCAGACUCCUACGGGAGGCAGCAGUGGGGAAUUUUGGACAAUGGGGGCAACCCCGAUCCAGCCAUGCCGCGUGAGUGAAGAAGGCCUUCGGGUUGUAAAGCUCUUUCGGCCGGGAAGAAAUCGCACGGGCUAAUACCCUGUGUGGAUGACGGUACCGGAAUAAGAAGCACCGGCUAACUACGUGCCAGCAGCCGCAGUAACAC